GCCUAACACAUGCAAGUCGAACGGUCUCUUCGGAGAUAGUGGCGGACGGGUGAGUAACACGUGAGGAUCUGGCCUCAGGAGGGGGACAACAGCUGGAAACGGCUGCUAAUACCCCAUAUGCCUACGGGUGAAAUAGUUUUCUGCCUGGGGAUGAUCUCGCGGCUGAUUAGCUAGUUGGUGGGGUAAGGGCCUACCAAGGCGACGAUCAGUAGCUGGUCUGAGAGGACGAUCAGCCACACUGGGACUGAGACACGGCCCAGACUCCUACGGGAGGCAGCAGUGGGGAAUUUUCCGCAAUGGGCGAAAGCCUGACGGAGCAAUACCGCGUGAGGGAGGAAGGCCUUUGGGUUGUAAACCUCUUUUCUCAGGGAAGAAUAAUGACGGUACCUGAGGAAUAAGCAUCGGCUAACUCCGUGCCAGCAGCCGCGGUAAUACGGAGGAUGCAAGCGUUAUCCGGAAUCAUUGGGCGUAAAGCGUCCGCAGGUGGUUAUGCAAGUCUGCUGUCAAAGGCCGGGGCUCAACUCCGGACAGGCAGUGGAAACUGCAUGACUAGAGUACGGCAGGGGUAGAGGGAAUUCCCGGUGUAGCGGUGAAAUGCGU
rnacentral:rRNA from 1 species